rnacentral:lncRNA from 1 species
CAACUUUCCAGACAACUAGAACUCUAGGCCUGUAUUUGAGAAAGGGUGGGCAGAUUCAGCUCCCCCAGGCCGCUGCUGCUCACACCCCUCGGAGAAUGACUUCCAGUUUCACACAAUCCCUCCCCUGGUCUCUCUUCCAUCGCGUUUAUAGCCAUGGAGAGGUCUGAAGAACUUAGCCCAGGAAAGACCACGCUCCUUAGGCAAGACUGGAACCUCAAACAAACCUGGACGAGAGAAGGGAAAUCCUAGGAAAAGGGAGUGGAGACAGCCACCCACUAGGACAAGCAUCUACUCCUUCUCUCCUCUUCUUGGGCCAAGGAACACGGCUAACUAGUUAAUAUAAGAAACCAUUAGAAACUGCACUUCACUCCUCAGAAAGAGUUGACAUCUCUCACUGCCCUCUCGCCUCCAUUGUCCUUUCUCCUGGACAGUUGGAACUCAAGGUCCCCUUUCACUCCCUUCUUGAAUACCCCUAGCACUUGCUGGGUUGGAGGAGCAGGGAACUCUCGGUUCUCCACUCAGGACUUUCUGGAAGCCCAUCUCCGUAUGCUCACCAGCCCACCCUCCUACGCUGGUCAGAGUGAGAUUGCUAACCUCAAGACCCCAUUCAAUGCCAGCUUUCAACUGCUGCUGAAGACCAAUGUAGGUCCUGGAUUAGAAGAACCGCAGAGUAUCCGGAGCUGGCCGACCCCAGACUGAUUCUCAACAGGUGGCUGGGUAGUGCCCCCCCCCCUGCUCUGUGUUGGUCGUGCCGGGACCCAUCGCACACAGAGAAGCCACCUUACCCCUCACCUCACCCCGUCGGCCCAAAGACUGACCACCCUCGCCCGAGUCGGGGGGUGGGGUGGGAAUCCCGGAUCACACACACACACACACACACACACACACACACACACACCAGGGUAGGGGAACAGGGAGGAUCUUACCUGCAGAAAGGUAAGAGAAGCCGGGAGCGUGUAGCAGCGGCGGAUAAAUAUUCAUUAGGAAGUGUAAGUCCUUUCAAAGGGCUCCGCGCGCGCGCGCGCUCUAGCUCCUGUCUCUUUCCCUCCCUCUGUCCUCCAGGAAGGCUUCCCCUCCUCUAGCUAUCUCAACGCCCCCCCCCCCUUCCUGCGAAAUACCGGGUGGAUCCUAGGCUAGCUAACCUGUUGGGAAGCCUGAACUGCGGCAGCGCCUCUGCAGCUAGCAGUUUGCUUUCGCUCCUGGGGCGCGCGUCCCCCCCCCAUCCCCUCCCCUCCUUCCUUUCGCCCAGCCCCUCACCCCUCCUAAAUUACUACAUCAUUAGCUUUAUUGGGCGGGGGGGGGGUGGCGGGUAACGGAGCAGCCAGACGCACCUCUCCAUAGAAGGGUGAAUAGUUGGUGCCCUGCGAUGCAACCCCAACUCCAUCUCCACCUCAUUCUCACCCAUCUGCACAUCCUCAUCCAAUCUUGCUUCUUUUUCUUC